UGGGGAAUAUUGGACAAUGGGCGCAAGCCUGAUCCAGCAAUGCCGCGUGGGUGAAGAAGGCCUUCGGGUUGUAAAGCCCUUUCAGCAGGGAAGAAAAGCCUCGGACCAAUACUCCGGGGUGCUGACGGUACCUGCAGAAGAAGCACCGGCUAACUCCGUGCCAGCAGCCGCGGUAAUACGGAGGGUGCAAGCGUUAAUCGGAAUUACUGGGCGUAAAGGGCGCGUAGGCGGCCUGUUAAGUCGGGUGUGAAAGCCCCGGGCUCAACCUGGGAAUUGCAUUCGAUACUGGCAGGCUGGAGUGUGGUAGAGGGAAGCGGAAUUCCGGGUGUAGCGGUGAAAUGCGUAGAUAUCCGGAGGAACAUCAGUGGCGAAGGCGGCUUCCUGGACCAACACUGACGCUGAGGCGCGAAAGCGUGGGGAGCAAACAGGAUUAGAUACCCCGGUAGUCC
rnacentral:rRNA from 1 species